AUUCUUGUAGUUUAGAUUAAAAUGUAACGUUGAAAAUGUUAAGACAUAUUUUUUAAGAAUA
rnacentral:tRNA from 1 species